rnacentral:rRNA from 1 species
AGAGUUUGAUCCUGGCUCAGGAUGAACAUUGGUAGUACGCCUAAUGCAUGCAAGUCGAGCGGAAUAUAGUAAUAUGUUUAGCGGCGAACGGGUGAGUAAUACUUACCUUACUUACCGAUCAGCGGGGGAUACUCUAGGGGAAACCUUAAUUAAUACCGCAUACGCUACCUUUGGGUAAUGAAAGGAGCUUCGGCUUCACU